rnacentral:rRNA from 1 species
UGCAACGCGAAGAACCUUACCUGGUCUUGACAUCCCGGAGACCCUUAGGAAACUAGGGGGUGCUUCCAUCUGGAAGAAUCUGGAGACAGGUGCUGCAUGGCUGUCGUCAGCUCGUGUCGUGAGAUGUUGGGUUAAGUCCCGCAACGAGCGCAACCCUUGCCUUUAGUUGCCAGCAGUUCGGCUGGGCACUCUAAAGGGACUGCCGGUGUUAAACGAGGAAGGUGGGGAUGACGUCAAGUCCUCAUGGCCUUUAUGACCAGGGCUACACACGUACUACAAUGGCCGAUACAAAGGGCAGCGACACUGCGAGGUGAAGCCAAUCCCGUAAAAUCGGUCUCAGUCCGAAUUGGAGUCUGCAACUCGACUCCAUGAAGUUGGAAUCGCUAGUAAUCGUGGAUCAGCAUGCCACGGUGAAUACGUUCCCGGGCCUU